AAGGGACUUGCGUCGGUCCUAUCCUAGGCCGAAUAGGUGAAUAAAUACUUACGGACGGCCUUGGUCUGUCCUAGAGGUUAUCAACAUAUGAACUCUUAGAGAAAUUACUUAAUAAACGAAGUGAAUUGAAAUAUCUUAUUAACUUCAGGAAAAGAAAUCAAACGAGAUUCUAUGAUUAGUGUGAACGAAAAUAGAGCAGCCUAUUAAAAUAAGUAAAAUGGCUUUAAAGCUGUUUGAAUAUUGUGGGGAACCUUCCUCAAAGGCUAAAUAUAAUACAUGAGUUACAGAGAAAAGUACCGUGAGGGAAAGCUUUGAAAUAGUAGUUUUAUAAGCAGCUCAAGCAAUAAGAAAGCGAGAGCGUACCUUUUGCAUAAUGGGUCACCAAGUUAAUUUUAGAUGCGAGCGAAUUUAUUUAUGUUUUUACUGAUUAAACAAUAUAAUGAAUCAUAAUUAUUUUUGUAACGAGUAUUAGUAUUAAAUCGAGGGACCCCGCCCCCCUCCGGGUCGGGGGCCCUAAUUUAAUAUUAGUAUAAGUUUUCAGUAUGGCGGCUACAUAGCAUAAUCUAUGCAGCCAGCCAAUAAUUGGAUUUCCAAUCCAAUUUCGGUAAUAAAUAGAUGUGCAUAGUUAAACCGAUCAUUAAAAUAAUGAAUAGUGUCUAAAGUUAGACCCGAAGCCUGGUGAUCUUACUAUAGUCAGGACUAUAAAGGUCCGAACGGGUUAUCGUUGCAAAGAUAUCCGAAGAACUAUGGUAAGCGAGUGAAAGACAACACUGACUAGGAUAGCUGGUUUUCUGCGAAACCUAUAAUAGUAGGCAAUUUAAGUAACAUCUUAGUAGGUACAGAACUUAAUCUCAGACAAGAUGUAGAUUUUCAUACCUAUGUUUAGGUAUGAAAUGCAUUUUUUUUUGUAUACAUCGGGGGAUCGUGAAGAUUUUAUCGGUGAGUAUGUAGACUCGGAAUGACAAAGAUGAAUCUUGAAUAAUCAGACAUAGAAUGAUAAGGUUGUAUGUCAAAAGGGAAACAGCCCAGAACAAGAGUUAAGGUUCCAAAAUUAUUAUUAAGUGAAAUAAAGAAAGUUUUUAUAUAAGUCGACAAGAAGAUGGGCUUGGAAGCAGCCAUAAUUUAAAGAUCUCGUAACAGAGCACUUGUUAAAUCUUAAAAGCAUCGAAAAUUUAACGGAUCUAAAUAAUAUACCGAAACCUUGUCCAUAUGUAACAUUAGUAAUAAUAUGCUAUUAAUGUUAUUUGAUGGGGUAGCAGAACGUUGAGUGAAUCUUAGUA
rnacentral:ncRNA from 1 species